rnacentral:tRNA from 1 species
AGGCCAGUAGCUCAGCUUGGUAGAGCAUCGGUCUCCAAAACCGAGGGUCGCAGGUUCGACUCCUGUCUGGCCUGCCA